rnacentral:piRNA from 1 species
UGAUUUGGAAAGUGCCUUCAUAUUGUU